rnacentral:misc_RNA from 1 species
UCGGAAGGUGCGGCUGGAUCACCUCCUUUCUAGGGAGACAUACACCAGGCCAAGAGCUUGGAUGUCACUUAGGUCGACACUUUGGCACCUAACAUUGUUCGGUUUUGAGAGAUCUGUAAAGACUCUCAAUCUACAGAUAUGGGCCUAUAGCUCAGCUGGUUAGAGCGCACGCCUGAUAAGCGUGAGGUCGGUGGUUCGAGUCCACCUGGGCCCACCAGUUGGCUCAUAUAACUCGAAAUACACGUUUGUGUAGAGUACAGACACUAAGAGCUAAAUAUUUUGGAAAAGCUUAUAAAAGAUAACGGAUUCUUCGGAAUGGAUUAUCGAGACUUAAGUGGACCAUCAUGGGGGCGUAGCUCAGUUGGGAGAGCACCUGCCUUGCAAGCAGGGGGUCAGGAGUUCGAAUCUCCUCGUCUCCACCAUUUAGUAUUUGACAGCUAGUCUGUUAUUUACUAAAAUAACAAAGCUAUCUUAGAUAGCAACAUAUGAUGCAUGAAUCGCGAGAUUUAUGUCAGAAUAUUGUUCUUUGAAAACUGCAUAGAAGAUAAUUAUAUAUAUUUGUAAGGUCAUCUCUUAGAAUUUCUAAGUAGGUUGACCCGAGCACAUAGGAAAUAAUUCUCUGACUUAAUGGUGACGUACAUGUGAAAUGUACGGCUACAAAAUAAACGACAAUGUAUCUAAUGCAUGUCUAAAAAUCGUAAUGAUUUUCAUCAGAAUUUGAUGGAUAUCGAGGCGUACCAGUGAAGCGAAAUCGCAACGUAUUUAUAUACGUAAGAUGAGCUGAACGCAGUACAACGAAGAUAGCCGCAAAUUAUGAUGUAAAAUAAGUAAAGAUUUUAAGGGCGUACGGUGGAUGCCUUGGCGAUAUCAGCCGAAGAAGGACGCGGUAAGCUGCGAUAAGCUACGGAGAGAUGCAAGCAAUCUUUGACCCGUAG